AUCGCUUCUCGGCCUGUGGCUAAGAUCAAAGUGUAGUAUCUGUUCUUAUCACCUUAAUAUCUGAUUUCACUUUGUAGUUACUGUCCUUAAGAAAAUGCAAAUAAGCGUUU
rnacentral:snRNA from 1 species